rnacentral:lncRNA from 1 species
CUUUUAGCGUUGCAACUUCAGGCCAGAACCGUUCUCAGAGCCAUCAUCACGAUCUGAGCAGCAGCUCCUACUGCUGGUGUGCUGCCGACAGCAAUCACAGGCACAAAGACUGGAGCAACCUGGCCCUCAGCUGCGCCGCAUCCUGCAAAGGCUGAACACACAACUUCUCUUGUUGCCUCCUCCGUCAGCAGGUCUGGGCAGAAGUACACGCGCACGACCAUCAGGUCAUCGAGACACAGCUGAGCUUCGCUGAGAGUCGCAGAGAUGCCCUCGGCGGCAGUGCGGCCGGCAGACUCACAGUCCCCAGCAAGCAGGCUUGUGCUUGGGGGUAUCGACAGCUGGUAGAGGCAGAAGCGCUCGGGACAGAUGAGCGCCUCACAGUGGGCUGCAGCGUCUGCAUGAUCCCCUGAUGUCUCACUGGAGCCAUGUGGAUCUGUCCAAGAGAUGUUGUGCAGCCCUUCCGUGAGCUCUGUAAUGCCACAAGCACAAACAGUCAGUUGCUACACAAUCUAUGCAGGAGUGAGAGCGGUUCAAGUGCUUUGGAAGCAAUAAAGGGAGCAUGUGGUGUGCCACCGAUUAUAUGAGCUUUCCAUGGGUGUCUCGGCUCACUUUGCACGCUGGCUGGAU